rnacentral:rRNA from 1 species
GACGAACGCUGGCGGCGUGCUUAACACAUGCAAGUCGAGCGGUAAGGCUCCUUCGGGAGUACACGAGCGGCGAACGGGUGAGUAACACGUGAGCAAUCUGCCCUUCUCAUCGGAAUAACCAUUGGAAACGAUGGCUAAUGCCGAAUACGACUUCCUUUCGCAUGUCAGGAAGUGGAAAGCUCCGGCGGAGAAGGAUGAGCUCGCGGCCUAUCAGCUUGUUGGUGAGGUAAUGGCUCACCAAGGCGACGACGGGUAGCCGGCCUGAGAGGGUGACCGGCCACACUGGGACUGAGACACGGCCCAGACUCCUACGGGAGGCAGCAGUGGGGAAUAUUGGACAAUGGGCGAAAGCCUGAUCCAGCAACGCCGCGUGAGGGAUGACGGCCAUCGGGUUGUAAACUCUUUCAGCAGGGACGAAGCGAAAGUGACGGUACCUGCAGAAGAAGGACCGGCCAACUACGUGCCAGCAGCCGCAGUAA